ACAGAUUAAACGGCCGCGGGUACCCUAACCGUGCGAAGGUAGCAUAAUCACUUGUUCUUUAAAUGAGGACUAGUAUCAACGGCAUCACGAGGAUCCCACUGUCUCCCCGCUCUAAUCAGUGAAACUGAUCUCUCCGUGAAGAAGCGGGGAUGAACAUAUAAGACGAGAAGACCCCAUGGAGCUUUAAACCCGACAGCACCCGUUUAUUCUACACCCUAUUAUUCACUCGGCACCUGUCUGCUCGGUUUUAGGUUGGGGUGACCGCGGAGCAUAAAAUAGCCUCCAUGAAAAAGGGGAUGAUUCCCUUAUUUAAGAACUACACUUCCAGAAAAUAAUAAACUAAUUUUAAGUGAUCCGAUAUAUUCGAUCAACGAACCAAGUUACCCUGGGGAUAACAGCGCAAUCCACCCCGAGAGCCCCUAUCGACAGGUGGGUUUACGACCUCGAUGUUGGAUCAGGGUAUCCCAGUGGUGCAGCAGCUACCAAAGGUUCGUUUGUUCAACGAUUAAAACCCU
rnacentral:rRNA from 1 species